AUUGAACGCUGGCGGCAGGCCUAACACAUGCAAGUCGAGCGGAUGAAGGGAGCUUGCUCCUGGAUUCAGCGGCGGACGGGUGAGUAAUGCCUAGGAAUCUGCCUGGUAGUGGGGGAUAACGUCCGGAAACGGGCGCUAAUACCGCAUACGUCCUGAGGGAGAAAGUGGGGGAUCUUCGGACCUCACGCUAUCAGAUGAGCCUAGGUCGGCUUAGCUAGUUGGUGGGGUAAAGGCCUACCAAGGCGACGAUCCGUAACUGGUCUGAGAGGAUGAUCAGUCACACUGGAACUGAGACACGGUCCAGACUCCUAAGGGAGGCAGCAGUGGGGAAUAUUGGACAAUGGGCGAAAGCCUGAUCCAGCCAUGCCGCGUGUGUGAAGAAGGUCUUCGGAUGGUAAAGCACUUUAAGUUGGGAGGAAGGGCAGUAAGUUAAUACCUUGCUGUUUUGACGUUACCAACAGAAUAAGCACCGGCUAACUUCGUG
rnacentral:rRNA from 1 species